CAGGAAUAGAGAGAAACUGGGGGCACAGACAGGGGGAGGGGGCUCUGUCCGCCGGGUUAACCCACAGUCGAUCUUGGGGGAUUGACUGAGGAGGACGCCUGGGUCUCUGAAACAAAAGGAUACACGCCGGGGGUGUGAUGGGUGGAGCAAGCUAGGCAUGCUGUUUGUUCCUGCUCGUUACAGGCAAAGAGGGAGGAAGACCCCUCCCGCUUCCUCCGCCCUGCUCCAGCACCUAUGGCCCUUGAUGCUUCAUAGAAGAGGGGGCUGCACCAGGUGAUCCUUCAGCUGGCAGCUCCCAUCUAAGGUGGUCUCCCCUGCUGCUCCAUCCUCUUUCACAGAGCGCCAUGUUCUAAAGCGCUGACGUGUUCAGACAAUGUUGUCAAAAGCUGUCACAGUGAGGUGCCACAGUGACACUGUUGCUUGGAAUACAAUGUGCUGUCAAAUAUGCUUAACCCACAGAAACACACAGACACAUACACACACAACCCAUCAAAUUCAAGAGUGAGUUGGCACACAGUGUGUCAGAGGUUUGAAGCAGAAUGCUAAUAAAGUUCACGUUUUGCUUCUCUAGCAGUAGACAGAGCAGCAGUCUGCUGACAGGCGGCUGGCUGGAUCCCUUUUUAAAGGCAGGAUUUUGAAAGAAGAGUUUACGUCUCAGGUUUAUAAUAUCCUCCCAUAGCUCAGAGCUGACACUUGUCAGUGUGCUUUCUGCCCUGAGUCGUGAAAGCCUUACUCAGUAUGAUCUAUGUAGAGGUAGACAAUCCCAAUGUGAUGAGGAGUGACAACUAGGCUAGGACAGAGGUGGUGGAGGGAGGUGUUAUCCAUAUAGACACAGUAGAAACAUCAGACAUUUACAAACAUAAACAUAGUGAUUCAUAUCAAACAUGAAACCCUUGGCCCUUAUUGAAUUGAUUUGUUUUCCAUAUUUAAUCAUUCACUCACAAUAGAUUUACAGUGAAGUAACUCUAAUAAGAAAAAUGGUAAUCCUUUAUUUUGGUGAAGAUCAGACAUGUCCAAUUUCCAUUAAUCCCUAGCUCUUUCCUACUCAGUUUUUUCUCACUCACUUCAAACUGACAAUGAGUCCAAUUAGAGGAUAUGAAAGCUUGUGGACACACAGUCACAUGCUCCCGUUCAGCUGAAAUGCUACAGACAGACGGCACAGGACUGGCUGACAACAGACAGCAGCCUUUCGCCUACAAGCCAACUUCAUUCUCUGAAAGCUGGCAUGUUUUCUUCUUACAGCGCUAAUCAUUCGAAACCCUCCCAAAGGAUGAGGUGAGGUUAGAUAUCUGGAAUGUAUGUAGACGGUACUAUAAGUUCAUAGGUCCUUGUCCUUCUCUGUGACUCAAACAGAAGGAGUGAAUGUGGGUUAGUAUGAUAAAUACAGAAUGAGAGCAUAACUAACUGAACUGAACUGCUGGACUCUCUUCCUCACUAGUGCCUAUAGUGAGCUACAGUACUGUACUUUUUACUGUAGUCAAACAUGGAGAUCAAGGGGAAAUGCUGAAUAACAGCCAGCACAAGUUGCAGCAGAGUAUAAAUCAAUAAUUGGACUAGACAGACCCUCAGGGAGCAUUAAGACCGCAGCCUGAUUGGGUAGAGAAUGAUCUCUCUAAGGACUUGUGGUGGACACUAUGCUAAGUAAAGAGGAGACUCAUAUGAUUAAUGUUCUGCAUGUUAUUCACUUUAACCUGGAUGGGUUGGCAUUAGUGUGUGUAUUUAGCACUCAUUUCCCAGAGUGUGUGUGCGUAUGUGCCUGUGUGGUUGUGUGUGCCUGUGUGUCUACCUGUUUAUCUGCACAGCCAUUAGUGUUAAUAUUUGACUCAGAUACAAACACAGCGUAACUCACUCUGAGGAAAGAGUCCAGGGAUCCGUUCUCCAUGAACUCAGUGAUGAUCAUGACAGGGGCGCUCUUGG